rnacentral:rRNA from 1 species
GGCGCAGGCGGGUCGAUAAGUCGAAAGUGGAAUCCCGGGGCUCAACCUCGGACGUGCUUUCGAUACUGUCGGCCUUGAGUAUGGGAGAGGAAGGCGGAAUUCCGGGUGUAGCGGUGAAAUGCGCAGAUAUUAGGAAGAACACCAGUGGCGAAGGCGGCUCUCUGGAACGAUACUGACGCUGAGACGCGAAAGCGUGGGGAGCGAACA